AUACAGGCUUUGUGGAUGAAGCAAACCUACAAUUCAAGAAUGAGCUAAUCAAAUCAACAGAUGAAGUUUGUGUAGAGGAAAAAACACGAUCAACAUAAAUUUGAGUAUUAUCAAUUUGAAAAACUCGGCGAUUAGGGGAUCUUACCAGAGAUUUUAACACAAAGAAGCACAGCGGCAGAGGAAGCCGCGGAAGAACUCGGCGAGCAAGCUCCUCAAACUUUGUAAAAGUGACCGAGACUGGAAUUGUUGACACAAUUGGGAUAGCAAUCUACAGGAUGUUUAUCCUUUGGGUUGAGUUUGAAUGAAUUUGAAAUUAUUUUAGUUGCUAUUUUUGAAUAUAUUAUCCCAGAUUUAGGGAAAUUUGAGAAACGAAUUUAGGUUUUUUAGUGUCUCAUAUGUUUCUCUCUAAAAAAUAAUUAGGAGUAUUAAUUAGAAUGGACAGCAUUUUUUAUAAUGACAGAUGUCAAUUUAUUGUGUU
rnacentral:lncRNA from 1 species